rnacentral:rRNA from 1 species
AGUGAACGCUGGCGGUAGGCCUAACACAUGCAAGUCGAACGGCAGCACAGUAAGAGCUUGCUCUUACGGGUGGCGAGUGGCGGACGGGUGAGGAAUACAUCGGAAUCUACUUUUUCGUGGGGGAUAACGUAGGGAAACUUACGCUAAUACCGCAUACGACCUACGGGUGAAAGCAGGGGAUCUUCGGACCUUUCGCGAUUGAAUGAGCCGAUGUCGGAUUAGCUAGUUGGCGGGGCAAAGGCCCACCAAGGCGACGAUCCGUAGCUGGUCUGAGAGGAUGAUCAGCCACACUGGAACUGAGACACGGUCCACACUCCUACGGGAGGCAGCGGUGGGGAAUAUUGGGCAAUGGACGCAAGCCUGAUCCAGCCAUACCGCGUGGGUGAAGAAGGCCUUCGGGUUGUAAAGCCCUUUUGUUGGGAAAGAAAAGCAGCAGGUUAAUACCCCGCUGUUCUGACGGUACCCAAAGAAUAAGCACCGGCUAACUUCGUG